UACGGAGGGUGCAAGCGUUAUCCGGAUUUACUGGGUUUAAAGGGUGCGUAGGCGGCUCGUUAAGUCGGGGGUGAAAGUUUUCGGCCCAACCGGAAAAUUGCCUUUGAUACUGGCGAGCUUGAGUGCGUGAGGGGUAACCGGAACGAGUGGUGUAGCGGUGAAAUGCGUAGAUAUCACUCGGAAGGCCAACGGCGAAGGCAGGUUACUGGUACGCAACUGACGCUGAGGCACGAAAGCGUGGGGAGCAAACAGG
rnacentral:rRNA from 1 species